GUAAUGCUUGGGAACUUGCCUUUGCGAGGGGGAUAACAGUUGGAAACGACUGCUAAUACCGCAUAAUGUCUACGGACCAAACGGGGCUUAGGCUUCGGCGCAGAGAGAGGCCCAAGUGAGAUUAGCUAGUUGGUGGGGUAAAGGCUCACCAAGGCGACGAUCUCUAGCUGUUCUGAGAGGAAGAUCAGCCACACUGGGACUGAGACACGGCCCAGACUCCUACGGGAGGCAGCAGUGGGGAAUAUUGCACAAUGGGGGGAACCCUGAUGCAGCCAUGCCGCGUGUGUGAAGAAGGCCUUCGGGUUGUAAAGCACUUUCAGUUGUGAGGAAAAGUGAGUAGUUAAUACCUGCUCACCGUGACGUUAACAACAGAAGAAGCACCGGCUAACUCCGUGCCAGCAGCCGCGGUAAUACGGAGGGUGCGAGCGUUAAUCGGAAUUACUGGGCGUAAAGCGCACGCAGGCGGUUUGUUAAGCUAGAUGUGAAAGCCCCGAGCUCAACUUGGGAUGGUCAUUUAGAACUGGCAGACUAGAGUCUUGGAGAGGGGAGUGGAAUUCCAGGUGUAGCGGUGAAAUGCGUAGAUAUCUGGAGGAACAUCAGUGGCGAAGGCGACUCCCUGGCCAAAGACUGACGCUCAUGUGCGAAAGUGUGGGUAGCGAACAGGAUUAGAUACCCUGGUAGUCCACACCGUAAACGCUGUCUACUAGCUGUUUGUGGCUUUAAGCCGUGAGUAGCGAAGCUAACGCGAUAAGUAGACCGCCUGGGGAGUACGG
rnacentral:rRNA from 1 species